AUUGAACGCUGGCGGCAUGCUUUACACAUGCAAGUCGAACGGCAGCGGGGAGGAGCUUGCUUCUCUGCCGGCGAGUGGCGAACGGGUGAGUAAUACAUCGGAACGUGUCGAGAAGAGGGGGAUAACCACCCGAAAGGGUGGCUAAUACCGCAUAAAUUCUGAGGAAGAAAGCUGGGGACCUAGGAAUAGGCCUAGCGCUUUUUGAGCGGCCGAUGUCGGAUUAGCUAGUUGGUGAGGUAAAGGCUCACCAAGGCGAAGAUCUGUAGCGGGUCUGAGAGGAUGAUCCGCCACACUGGGACGGAGACACGGCCCAGCCUCCUACGGGAGGCAGCAGUGGGGAAUUUUGGACAAUGGGGGCAACCCUGAUCCAGCCAUGCCGCGUGUAUGAAGAAGGCCUUAGGGUUGUAAAGUACUUUUGUUAGGGAAGAAAAGUCAGCUGUGAAUAAUGGCUGAUACUGACGGUACCUAAAGAAUAAGCACCGGCUAACUACGG
rnacentral:rRNA from 1 species